UACGGGGGGGGCAAGCGUUGUUCGGAAUUACUGGGCGUAAAGGGCUCGUAGGCGGCCAACUAAGUCGGAUGUGAAAUCCCCAGGCUUAACCUGGGAACUGCAUCCGAUACUGGAUGGCUUGAAUCCGGGAGAGGGAUGCGGAAUUCCAGGUGUAGCGGUGAAAUGCGUAGAUAUCUGGAGGAACACCGGUGGCGAAGGCGGCAUCCUGGACCGGCAUCGACGCUGAGGAGCGAAAGCCAGGGGAGCAAACGGG
rnacentral:rRNA from 1 species